GGGCCCGCACAAGCGGUGGAGCAUGUGGUUUAAUUCGAUGCAACGCGAAGAACCUUACCAGGUCUUGACAUCCUCGGAACUUGGCAGAGAUGCCUUGGUGCCUUCGGGAGCCGAGUGACAGGUGCUGCAUGGCCGUCGUCAGCUCGUGUCGUGAGAUGUUGGGUUAAGUCCCGUAACGAGCGCAACCCUUGUCCUUAGUUGCCAGCACGUCAUGGUGGGAACUCUAGGGAGACUGCCGGUGACAAACCGGAGGAAGGUGGGGACGACGUCAGGUCAUCAUGGCCCUUACGACCUGGGCUACACACGUGCUACAAUGGCUGGUACAGAGGGUUGCGAAGUCGCGAGGCGAAGCUAAUCCCUUAAAGCCAGUCGUAGUCCGGAUCGGAGUCUGCAACUCGACUCCGUGAAGUCGGAAUCGCUAGUAAUCGC
rnacentral:rRNA from 1 species